AAGGUUGUACAUUAUGGAUAUUCAAAAUGCAAUUAGGACAAUGUGCAGGACACUUUGCUUGAUAAUAGAAUGUAUUAUACAGAUACUUUUCAUGCAUGUAAUGUCCUGGGAACGGAAAAGGCACCGAUUCGGCGGAAUGGCCCUUAUAUUAAUUGAAUCAACCAUACAUUUUUAGAAACGUACCGUUUUUCCCGUGCAAGCCGACAUCCCGAUGUAGCCACCUUGAGCUAUAGUGUAGCCUACGGCUUGUGUAUUUCCUGUUAUCGCUAAACCUAGAAUUUCCGCGUGCCGCUUAGGCCGCCCAUUGUGAUUCGCUUGUGGGCGUGAUGGUAGCAUAUAGCAGCAGUUCGACUGUGCGUCAAUAAUUCAGCAUAGCAAGUUUGAAUGAAUGUCUGGUUAUUAAAUGGGUACAUAGUUCAAUAGUAAUAUCCUCUAAAACGUUCUGGUGACAAAUUUUGCAGCCCUGUUUCCAAUUGGCCACAUGGCUAGGAGAACCUAUUCAAGUAAGUAAAUACAUUUCAAAAAUGUUUUUAAAAAACAAUGUAUUAUUAGCUAACUAGCUACAGUGCAGGCUAACUCAAAUUAACUGCUAGUUGGCUAGCUAGUUAACGUUACCUAGCCAACUUCACAUACUGUAUAACUAGCUUAGUGAAUGAAAUAUCACCACCUGUAUUUAUCACUGUAAAAAACAAACUCCAAAUGCAUUUGUAGGUAGCUAGCUAACUGCCAUAUAGGAGGGUGAAAGGAUAGCAGCCCCAACUGUCAGUGAGAGAGUAGGCUAUUCUGGAUAGGGCAGGUACUUUUGUGUAGUUCCUGUCCCUAAAAGUGAGGAUGGAGAUAAUAUUAACUUAAUAUUCAGUGCGGUGUAAUUUGACUAUAAUGAAGUCUGUUUCUUGUGAGGUUUUCUAUCCUCAUAUAAAGAGAGCUAUGAAAGCCUGUCUACAUAUGAAGAGGUCCCAAUGAAGAGCAGUGGUUCUCAGUCCUGGUCCUGGGGACUCAAAGGGGUGCACAUUUUUGUUUUUGCCUUAGCACUGCACAGCUGAUUCAAAUUAUCAACUCAUCAAGCUUCAAGUUGUAUUUAUGUAUUCAUUUGUGAUGCUAUCCUUAAUAUGAUCCUGUUAUUGUCACAUACUACACAUGCACAUUUUUUUUCUUUUAUUUUUACCGUUAUUUUACCAGGUAAGUUGACUGAGAACACGUUCUCAUUUGCAGCAACGACCUGGGGAAUAGUUACAGGGGAGAGGAGGGGGAUGAAAGAGCCAAUUGUAAAGUGGGGAUUAUUAGGUGACCAUGAUGGUUUGAGGGCCAGAUUGGGAAUUUAGCCAGGACACCGGGGUUAACACCCCUACUCUUACGAUAAGUGCCAUGGGAUCUUUAAUGACCUCAGAGAGGCAGGACACCCGUUUAACGUCCCAUCCGAAAGACGGCACCCUACACAGGGCAGUGUCCCCAAUCACUGCCCUGGGGCAUUGGGAUAUUUUUUAGACCAGAGGAAAGAGUGCCUCCUACUGGCCCUCCAACACCACUUCCAGCAGCAUCUGGUCUCCCAUCCAGGGCCUGAACAGGACCAACCCUGCUUAACUUCAGAAGCAAGCCAGUAGUGGUAUGCAGGGUGGUACGUUGCUGGCCCAUGCAUCUAUCAAUCCAAUGUUAUCAUGAUUUGUCAUCAGGGAUAUUAUACUUUAGUAAUCCACAAUGACCUGGUGAUGUAAAAGUCAAAUUAUUACAUUGUCUUCCAUAUUCCUACAGAUACCUUGUAACUCGAGAUUCCUUCAAAACGGUUAACAUGUAGGGCACUGCAAGGUUGGGUGACCAGGGCCAUCUGGGACUGCCUCCUGGAGGAAUUCAGGUUUGUGAAGGCUACCUGUGUUCUGCAUAACUUCAUGAGGAUGGACACGAGGACCAGGAGGGGAUCUGUAGCUCGUCAGAGGAGAAGUCUGCAGGAUGUUUCAAGGAUGGGGUCCAACAACGCAGCAAGAGAGGCAAUCCAUGUGCAGGAGAUCUUCACUUCCUACUUCUUCGAAGAGGGAGUUGUUCCCUGGCAACACCAUAGACUACACUAUGCACAAUCAAAGGCUCUGUAAGAGCCAUUCACAUUGCAAUAAGAGUAUUUUUCCAUUUACUUAGCUAUAUCAACUGCAGUUACUCAAUUCCCAGUUCUCUCCCUUUAAUUUCUACUUCUCAGGUGAGGGUACUGUUUAGGUAAGGGUGUGAUGUCUGUUCAAAAACAAGACGAGCUAUUUUAAGUCACCCAUAUUGAUUUUUUUUAAAUUAGAAACCCUAUAACCCACAUCUACACACAUGUAUCAAUCUGAUUGAUGGAUUGUGUUGUGCAGUAACCAGGCUCAGGUGUAUAACUGUGGCUCCUCCCACCUUCAAAGAAUAGGCAAAAGAGCCAACCACGGAGAAUAGCAAGACACUUCACUAUUUCAAUAACUAUGCUAUAUUGUUUGUCCUUGUGUGUUCGUUCAUGUUUGUCAGCAUAAAGUACUCUGCAGCUACUUAUUGUGGUGUGGACACCAGGUGAGGCCACACACAGAUUCCUGUUGAACACUGUCGCUUUAACUACCUUAAUUUCUCAAUAAGUCUCUCCUUCACUUCAUCCCUCUCUCCUCUUCUCCUUAAAUCCUCUAGGUUAUAUCGGCUGUGUCGAUGAACCCCUCCCGCAUUUAAACUGGCUACAUAGAGGGCACAGCAUGAUAAGAGGUGAGAGGUCACUAGAUGCUUUGAUGUGAGAGGAUGCCAACCCCCAGUCCCAUCAUCGCUACCUCACCCGCUUUUAAGAUAACCUUUUGGCCGACUAGAGACACUUAUGUAAUUGUGAUGAACUGAGAGAAUAUGUGGGUUGCACUGUGAUUCAUUAAUCAUAGGAGCAGGGAAGACCGCAUAUGUUCUUACCUCUUUCCCUUUGUCUUUUACACCUCUCGCCACCUUUCUUCCUCUGUUUUUAUAAUGCAUAACAGAUGUGCAUUGAAGUACAGAUUGAACUUGUAUUGGUAAUGAACUGCUUUCAAUAAAGUGUUUCACAUUCUCUA